GAGCGUAUCUUCUCCGGUGCACGCCUCUUAUUCCUUCUUUUCCUUUUACACGUGGUCUGGUAGCUGCAAGUGUAAGGACGUCAAGGCUUCAAGAUGAAGCGGCCAAAACUGAAGAAAGCAAGUAAGAGACUGUCCUGUGCUAAGCGCUACAAGAUCCAGAGGAAGGUUCGUGAGCAUCACAGAAAAUUACGUAAAGAAGCAAAGAAACGUGGCUUUCGGAAAACUAAAAAAGACCCUGGAGUUCCCAACAGUGCACCUUUUAAAGAAGAGCUUUUAAGGGAAGCAGAACAGAGGCGGUUAAAGCUUGAAGAAGAAAAAGAAAAGCAGAAGCUAGCUAGAAAAAAAGAGAAAGCUAAGCGAAAACAGGAAGGUGGUAAAGACCAGAAGGCAAAAUCCCAGAAAACCGAGAAACUUCCAGUGAAACAAUCCGAAUCGCACAAAAAGGAAGCUAAACAUUUUACAGCGUCAUUCUGCCUAGAAAUACAAAAAGUUAUUGAUGCCAGUGAUGUUAUCCUUGAAGUUUUAGAUGCAAGAGACCCUCGGGGCUGUAGAUGUCCACAGAUAGAAGAAACCAUCCUGAAAUCUCAAAAGAAAAAGUUGCUGUUAGUCUUGAACAAAGUCGAUCUAGUACCAAAAGAGAUUGUCACAGACUGGAUAAAAUGUCUGCAACUAGAAUUUCCCACAGUGGCCUUCAAAUCAGCUACCAUGUUUGAAGACAGUAUGAAGGUAGUGACGAAAAAAAUGCCCCCAGGUGGAAUUACACAGCUAAUGAAAGGCAGCUCCUGUUACGGGGGUGAUGUCUUGUUGAAACACCUAAAAGAAUGCUGCCAUCCCCAGAUGACAGAUGGCAUUUUAAAGGUUGGAGUCAUUGGGCUCCCUAAUGUAGGCAAAAGCAGCAUAAUUAAUAGCUUACGGAAAGCUGAAGUUUGCAACACUGGGAUUUACAGGUGCACUACAAAGCAUAUCCAGGAAGUGAAAAUUGACAACCACAUCCGGAUGAUUGACUGCCCUCCUAUCAUUGCUGCCCCCUCAAACUCUGUGGCUACUCUGGCCUUAAGAGGUCAUGUUGACAUUGAGAAUAUGGAAAAUCCAAGAGGGGCAGUCAAUGCACUACUCAAACAAUGUAGCAAACAAAAGAUCAUGAUGGCAUAUAAUUUGCCUGACUUCAGAAAUUCCUUGGAAUUUUUAACUUUGCUUGCACAGAGGAGGGGUUUUGUGAAAAAGGGGAACAUUCCAGAUACAGAUAAAGCUGCACGGAUCUUCCUGAAAGACCUGACUGGGAGUAAAAUGAAUUACCAUUGUAAUCUUCCCAAUGAACUUAACAGUUCUUCAUGCCUUUCUGAAGAUGACACACUGCAAUAUGACAAUCUUAAGACACUGUCUGCUGUGAAGUGCCCCACUAAGUCAAGUAGCAUUACGUUUCAGUCAUUAAAUGCUACAGUUGGACUGUUGGAAGAUGUCUCGGAGGACAGUGGCGAACAUAUGGAGCAGUCUAAUGAGCAAGAGGAGGAACACAUAGAGGAUGGUGAAGACGGUGUAGAAAUGGAAGAGAAUGAACCAUCUGUAAGCCGAGAAGGAACCAGAAAACGAGUUUCUGUAAAGAAUGCCCCUGAAAAGGACAAAGCAGAAAUGGAAAUGGCCAAGAAAACACAAUUGCAGGUGCCCAUUGACAUCAAUUUUUCAUCAUCCAAUCUUGGUGAUGAUGACGCUUAUGAUUUUAAUACGGACUUCAACUGAGGACCAUUGUGGAAGAGGAGUCCUUAAUUUCCAGUGAUAUGAAAAAUGAAACCAGAAAAUGAAUAAUGGAAAAGCAGCAAUAUAGAAAAUGCAAUCUGAGGUCCUUCUCCGCUCCUAACUGGACAUCUUAAGUGUGGCGCUUUCACUGCAGGCCAUCAAGUUCUUGGAUCACCAACAGUGCAACCUUUAUUUCCAAGAUGGGACUCUUCAAGUCACUCUGUGGCAGCAGGUUUUUAUUCCACUUAACUGGAUGUCUACUGUUAUUUAGCUUGUCCUCCCUCUCGCUGCCCAAUUUCUGUUAAUACCAAAGUUUAUAAAGUGACUGUAAAUUUUAAAAAAUGUA